UGUAACCUAGGAGGACUAGGCUAUCCCAUUUAGCCUAGGUGUGUAGUAGAUUAUACCACCUAGGUUUGUGGAAGUGCACUCUGAUAUUCACAAGAUGAGGAAAUCACCCAAGGAUGUGUUUCUCAGAACAUAUCCCCAUCGUUAAGUGACACAUGGCUGUAUUUCUAAUAAAAAUAUGGAAUUUGAAAAGUAAUAGAACCUUUAUAAUUUAUCCAUGAUUAGGGCAGCUAAUAAAAUUAACACUUUGUAGCAUCUAACAAUAAUAAAAAAAUAGAGUGUGUCUUAAGUAUGUUUAAAAAAAUGCUAAAGCUAGGUCCUGGUUCAGUAGGAAAGGUGUUAAAAGGCAUAAGUGGUGAUUUUUAAAGCCAUUUUAUAGGUCAAAACACUGACUGUCAUAUAUUUACCAUGGUGAUUAAAUUUAGUGUUACAGAUGAAGAAUGAGGUCCAGAGAAGAGAUACAAUUUACUGGAGUCAGGCAGCUCUUAAGUGGCAGUUUAGCUCCAAUGCUGAGUCUAAAUUCACUUCUCUUUCCACUAUACUAGAUUUCCUGCUAGCUUACAUUCCUUCCAUCGCUAAUAAUUUUCCCCAGAAAUGUUUCAUAAAUAUUUCCUUCAUAGCUCCUUUACACUAAUAUUAAAAACGUUUCCGCACAAAUUUACAAGUAUCACCUGGACUAAUGCAGAAGCUCAUAUUGAGAACAUGCUGCAAUGAUCUGCUACAUGAGGAAAAUCCUAUUAACAUUACUUUCCUCUUCAUUUCCAACACUUAAGAAAACCUAUUGUCAAGUACAGUAACAAAAUUCUAGUGAAUUCAUUCAUUUUUCAAUUCUUCCUCAAUUGUGUCUUUUACCCAUUGGUUUAUUAAAAAGGAGAGAAACAUUUAUUCAAAGAACAAAUGAAAAUAAAUUAAAUUUGUAAUUUUUUAACAUAGACGUUUUGUGGUAAAGAAAAUUAUAUAUGAUAUUAAUAGUUUGUGCAAUUAUUUAACGGAGAUGAAAUAAAUAUUAGGUUGGUACAAAAGCAAAAUCCACGAUUACCUUUGCACCAACCUAAUAUUUGUAUGACUGUGUAUAAUUGCUAAUGCCCACCAGUUUCAAGUUAACGUGUUUUAGCAGCAACAGCAUGUGCAGUAUUUGUUAUAUUAGCCUUACAAGUUUACUUUAUUAUCUCCAUUUUGUACAAGAGCAAAACCAACUUGAAGAGAUUAAGUAAUUUGGCCAUUGCCACACUAGUCAAUCGUGAAAUAGAAAAGUUUGUCUAAUUGCAGAGCCUGUGUUCUUAACCACAGUGCUGUUAUUGGAAUCUCAAGCACACUAAACCUUGGCAUGAAAAAGCAUAAGUAUUUCUAGAAAUAUACAUGUACCAUUUCUAACUACUGUGACUAUUAUUGUGAUGAAUGUUUAGGAGGAGAAUGAUUCUCAGAAGUAGACAUGUCCAUGCUGAAGAUGUCAUUUAAACUGCGCCUUGAAGAAUAGGAAGAAUAGAGGGAAUGGAGGCUAAAAAGUACAUUUUUGGUGGAGCAUAGUUGGAAACAGAUGUGGUAAUAGAAAUAGCAAAUAUGGCAACACACAGAGGAUCAUGGGAACACACAAACACACACAAGGAGAGCACCAUGCCGGGAUGAAGACAGAGUCUGGAGUUACACAGAUCCAAGUCAAGAAAUACCCAGACGCUAGACAGAGACAAAGGACUCCCCUGCAGAUUUCAGAGCAAGCAUGGCCCUGCUGACACCUUGAUUUCAAGCUUCCAGAACUGUGAAACAGAAAUGUACCCCAAAAGAACUCUGAGAGAAUAUACUCAACUGUCCUGCUGUGAUUAAACAAGACUGCUGUAUUUUACCUGAGCUUGGCAAAGCAAGGAUAUGAACAAUGUGCAGGUGGGCUACUCAGGGCGAGUGAAGAGAUAAGGCAUCCAAUCAGGGAUUGGCCACCUGCAGCCCUGCCAAUAUGCCCCUCCACCAGAUUUCCAUAAUCCCAGCACGGGAGACUGCCAGCAAUGGGAGAAAUUCAAUGGGCAGAAACAAAGAGAAGAACAAGGAAGUCGAG